rnacentral:rRNA from 1 species
GACGAACGCUGGCGGCGUGCUUAACACAUGCAAGUCGAACGGAAAGGCCCUGCUUUUGUGGGGUGCUCGAGUGGCGAACGGGUGAGUAACACGUGAGUAACCUGCCCUUGACUUUGGGAUAACUUCAGGAAACUGGGGUUAAUACCGGAUAGGAGCUCCUGCUGCAUGGUGGGGGUUGGAAAGUUUGGGCGGUUGGGGAUGGACUCGGGGCUUAUCAGCUUGUUGGUGGGUUAGUGGCUUACCAAGGCUUUGACGGGUAGCCGGCCUGGGAGGGUGACCGGCCACAUUGGGACUGGGAUACGGCCCAGACUCCUACGGGAGGCAGCGGUGGGGAAUAUUGCACAAUGGGCGGAAGCCUGAUGCAGCAACGCCGCGUGCGGGAUGACGGCCUUCGGGUUGUAAACCGCUUUCGCCUGUGACGAAGCGUGAGUGACGGUAAUGGGUAAAGAAGCACCGGCUAACUACGUG